AUACGUAGGGAGCAAGCGUUGUCCGGAAUUACUGGGCGUAAAGGGUGCGUAGGUGGUCAAGUAAGUCAGAUGUGAAAGACCGGGGCUUAACCCCGGGGUUGCAUUUGAAACUGUUUGACUUGAGUGCAGGAGAGGGAAGUGGAAUUCCUAGUGUAGCGGUGAAAUGCGUAGAUAUUAGGAGGAACACCAGUGGCGAAGGCGACUUUCUGGACUGUAACUGACACUGAAGCACGAAAGCGUGGGGAGCAAACAGGAUUAGAUACCCUGGUAGUCCACGCCGUAAACGAUGGAUACUAGGUGUGGGGCCCGAUAGGGUUCCGUGCCGAAGCAAACGCAUUAAGUAUCCCGCCUGGGGAGUACGAUCGCAAGGUUGAA
rnacentral:rRNA from 1 species